GGAGGCUUCUACAUUAGAACACAGAAGCUCUGCUGUUGACUCCAGAUCGUUCCUGAGCCUGGAGAGGAGCAGACGUGGAUCAGUUCUUCCGACGGAACAGAUUCACAACAAAGCCUAAUGUGGAGGACUCUGCAGAGAAGUAGGGCAACCACAGCAAGAUGCCAGAUUUAAAGAAGGAAGAAGAGAGAGAGAGAAAAAAAAAUCACCUUCCUCCUUUCAACAUAUUGUAUCUCUCAACAAAACAAGGACGGAUGAUGAAACCUGGACUGGCAAACACAGUGCUUCACUGCUCGGGGGAUAAUGUGUCAAGGCUGGUGUCAGUAUUCUUGACACAAAAAGGGAGUAUAUGAGUUUUUUGACUGGUGGGGGAGUUUCUUUUUUUGCUUUUUUUUUUUUUUUUUUUUUUUUUUUUUUUAGUCAGGCGUUCACCUUUGGAUGAACUCCUGAAAGUGGAGGCGGGAAUAAAAGUGAUGAGGAGGAAAGAAAAAGGCAACAAUAAUAGAAAGGAAGGAUGGGGCGGAGGAGGAGGAGGAGGAGAACACAAGGCUCAGCUCCAAGUAAAUCAUCUGCAUUGUUCUGCUCCCCUAAUGCCGCUCAUAUGCAUCAACACGCAUGCACACACACAUCGAAAGUGCCAGGACAGCAUCAAACACACGCAUACCCACACAAAGGGAAUCUCAGGCACAAAUUCGCACUUCCAUGUUCCUGCCUUAGUUUGUCCCUGGUGGAGAUGGUUUUUAAUGCGCCGUAAUCCCCCCUUUUCCCCUUGAACACAUAAAAGAGAUAUCCUCCUAUCCAUGUAAGUGCUUCUGACGGCCACCAGCCCGUCGUGAACACACAUGUGUUGACACACACACACACACACACGCAGACACAUGAACACACGUGGAGGCGCCAGCUCAUCAACAUGCAGUUAUUCCUUUGGCGCUGGAUCGCAGGUUGUUAAUUGGCUGCCAAAGCAGAAUGUGUGUGUAUGUGUGUGUGUGUGUGUCUGUACCGCAGAGCUGGGGAUGCUUAGACAUUCCCGUCACGUCCCUGAGCCUCGAUUAAGACGUUGCUCCAGUUUCGAAUAGACAGACAUGUGGGGGAGGAGGAGAGGAGAGGAGAGGCAGAGAGGAGGCAGCAGGGGGCAGAAAAGAUGAGAGAGCGCCGGAGGAGAGAGAGGAAGGCAGAAAGAGAGGUGAUGAGGUGGGGCGCAGCAAAGGAUGAGAGGGGGCAAAACGAAGGAGAGAGAAGUAGUGAAAUACUGCACUGGUCCCGUGUGUGAGACCUGGACUUGAUUACAUAUCCUCGAAUGGAUUUCUGAUCGAUGUUGUUGAAGUAUGAAGGUGUUUCAGGUAUCAAGAGUGACGGUACAGUUUCUCGUCACUAUUCUGAAUUUAAUGUGACAUCUGCUUCUGUGAUUCAAAUGUUAAGUUUACAAUUCUACAAUACAUCAACUCUGACUGAAAGGGUCUGUUUCAAUUCUCAUGUUGGACAUUUUUCUUCUCAUGCCAAGCAGGAACUCCUGGUUAAAAUGUUUCACAAUGUAUUCACAUGUUGUUGACACUAUCGGGACACACAGGCAGUAAAAAGCUACAGAGAUGAUUUCAUUUCAAAUAUUAGGUAUAUAUUCAGGUACUGCUGCGUAUUUUCCACCUAUGAUUUUAAAUAAUCACCAUUACAAUCACAAUGAAUUCUGUUAUAAAUAUGCAUUUUCUUGAUGAAAGUAUCAGUAGAUUUUCUUUCCACUUAUUUCUUUCUCCCUAAGUAAUUAGAUUGGCCUUGUUGCUGCUGCUCUUUGGCGCCCCCUAAAGGGCCUGCGCCACACUUCAGAAACCACCAAUUUGACCUUUAGCCUGUUGUCCUGAUGGGAUUCUCCUUCGUGCACUGUGAAUAAGAAGUGGAAGCUGAAGAAGGAAUAUUUCUCAUUGAAUAUCACUGCACCUUCACAUUUCUGGGUCAAUUUUAAAUGAUGAAAUUUGUAUUUGAUAAAUGAAACUUAUAACAAAUGUUUUGAGCAAAUGAAUUCAUCAGUUUUUGGAAAGAGAGCGGCAGGUUGUAUUUUGACCUUGUAAAGAUUACACUACAUGGUGUGUUUCUCAUUGUGUCUAUGAUGUUCAUAACAAUCAAUCAGAUCUAUUAAACAUGCACAUUGAAAAUGUAGCACAUCUGUUUUGUCACCAGACAACCAAGUAAAAAAACAAAACACAUCUACUGUUAACAGAGAAAAACAGACUGAACCAGGAUAAUUAAAGU